AGAACGAACGCUGGCGGCAGGCUUAACACAUGCAAGUCGAACGCCCCGCAAGGGGAGUGGCAGACGGGUGAGUAACACGUGGGAACGUGCCCUUCGCUUCGGGAUAGCCUCGGGAAACUGGGAGUAAUACCGAAUACGCCGUAUUGGGAAAGAUUUAUCGGCGAAGGAUCGGCCCGCGUUGGAUUAGCUAGUUGGCGGUGUAAUGGACCACCAAGGCUACGAUCCAUAGCUGGUCUGAGAGGACGACCAGCCACACUGGGACUGAGACACGGCCCAGACUCCUACGGGAGGCAGCAGUGGGGAAUCUUGGACAAUGGGCGCAAGCCUGAUCCAGCCAUGCCGCGUGAGUGAAGAAGGCCUUAGGGUUGUAAAACUCUUUCGCCGGUGAAGAUAAUGACGGUAACCGGAGAAGAAGCCCGGCUAACUCGUGCCAGCAGCCGC
rnacentral:rRNA from 1 species